GGCGAGCUAAUACCGCAUAUAACUCCUGGUGAGAAUCCGGGAGUAAAAGCUCCGGCGCUACGAGAGGGGGCCCGCGGCCGAUUAGCUUGUUGUGGGGUAAUGGCCUACCAAGGCGACGAUCGGUAGCUGGUCUGAGAGGAUGGUCAGCCACACGGGGACUGAGAUACGGCCCCGACUCCUACGGGAGGCAGCAGCUAAGAAUCUUGCGCAAUGGGCGAAAGCCUGACGCAGCAAUUCCGCGUGGAGGACGAAGGCCCUCGGGUCGUAAAACUCCUUUUGCGAGGGAAGAAGUUCUGACGGUACCUCGCGAAUAAGCCACGGCUAACUACGUGCCAGCAGCCGCGGUAAUACGUAGGUGGCGAGCGUUGUCCGGAUUUAUUGGGCGUAAAGAGCCCGCAGGCGGCUUGGCAAGUUUCUAGUGAAAUCUCCCCGGCUCAACUGGGAGGGCGCUCGGAAAACUGCCAGGCUUGAGGCAGGGAGAGGGAUGUGGAAUUCCCGGUGUAGUGGUGAAAUGCGUAGAUAUCGGGAGGAAC
rnacentral:rRNA from 1 species